UAUGUGCUAUGUGCUGGCUAAGCUAUUUGCUUAAUUCGUGUCAUUUGAUCCUUACAACAUCCCUGGGAUGUAGUCAAGGUCGAUGCCAUGACAUCUGUGAAUGGUUUAGAUUACAGGGACUCAGAGGCUAAUGCCAGCCCAAGUUAACGUUAGCUAGAAUAAAAUCAGAGUUGGGUCUGGUCUGGAACCCAAAUUGUGUUGAUUAUGGCUAAAUUAGAUGAUGGGCUGUGUGCUGAAAGAGAAUCAUAAAGAGGGCAAAGGGUUAAUAUAGAGAAGUAGUCAAGUAUUGAACAUUAAAAGGCAUUUUCCUGUUUAUUCUUUUUUUUUUUUUUAAUUCUUAAUAUUCCAGCCCAAACCACCCAUCCCUGGAGCAAGUUUUACCGGUUCUAGCCACUAGAGGUCACAUGAGUAACAGGUAAGAAAGAUGGGCUGAGCAGGUCUGCAACUGCCACUUCCAAAGAAGUUAAGAGGUCUUCCAGAGAACAGGUUUCAGAUUAACCAACCCCACGUCAGAGCCUCAAGGGAAGCUGUCAUGGAUCCCCAGAGAAAGGAGACACCACAACCCGUCCUUGGACUUCUGGCCAUCAGUCUGGUUGGGAUCAGGGGAGGUCAGCUUGGCUGGGCUUCUCUGCUGGGCCCUGUGAUCUUCAACCAUCCUGCCCCCCAGUGCGGUUCAAACUAUGCGCUGUGCCAUCUCAGGAAUCACACAGAUUGCCAAAUAGCUGGAGGGGCAUCUGCUCCAUACCCAACAUCUUCCUCAGAGGGCCCAAGAUUGUAGCCAACAGUCCUCUCGAUGAGGAUGGUGAAGAAACUUCUAAUGCUCCUCCCCCAGCGGUGGACACUGCACACACCACCAUUGUUUGGGUCUCGGGGAUCAUUACAUGAAUGUGAUGCAAAGUGGGCUGUGCCACAGACAUGGGAAGUCUGUCUCACCUUUGUCCCUGGCCCUGUAAGGCCCCUUGAAAUUCCUUGGCCCAGAGGACAUACCCAUUACAAUUCCAGAGCAGUGACGGUUAUCUUUGGCACUCACUGGCGCACAUCUCACACAGCACUUCCCAAUGCCAACAUGUUCCAUCCCCACUUGCUCCAUCAAAAUUUGCUCUCAUGUUUCUUCACUUAGUGAAUGAUGGUAGCCGAAAGGGGCCUCUGUUUUCAAUGACAAACAUCCUGCUGUCUAGCUCCUCGUCUGGACUGUAUACUCUACAAACUAGCUCCCUUUGAAGGACACCCCUCACCGUCCCUGUGAAACAGCAUCAACAGAAAGCGUCAUGAAGACCCUGGGGCACACCUGUGUUGGUCUUGGCCAAAGGCUGGUACCUGACCUUUACAGAGCAGAGAGCAGGUGCAAUGUGAGUUCUAGGACAUCUGACAUAAGGAACCAACAGAAUAAAACUAGGUGGGAAUUCUCAGUGGAGGGUAGGAGACAUUUUCAAUUCUUCUUCAUAAACACGAUUUUGUUCAAACUAUUCCAUCUAGAGUACCUUUA